rnacentral:rRNA from 1 species
AGAGUUUGAUCCUGGCUCAGGAUGAACGCUAGCUACAGGCUUAACACAUGCAAGUCGAGGGGCAGCAUGUUGGUUGCUUGCAACCAACGAUGGCGACCGGCGCACGGGUGAGUAACGCGUAUCCAACCUACCCUUGUCCAUCGGAUAACCCGUCGAAAGGCGGCCUAACACGAUAUGCGGUUCACAGCAGGCAUCUAACGUGAACGAAAUGUAAAGGAGAAGGAUGGGGAUGCGUCUGAUUAGCUUGUUGGGCGGGGUAACGGCCACCAAGGCUACGAUCAGUAGGGGUUCUGAGAGGAAGGUCCCCCANAUUGGAACUGAGACACGGUCCAAACUCCGUACGGGAGGCA